rnacentral:misc_RNA from 1 species
GCGAGGUCUCUUUGUCCUAAUUUUCUCUCUCUCUCUCUCAAAUGAAGCUUCAAGCUAUGGAGCUUAUUCCCUUUGGCAAAUCUCAAGCACUGCAAAAGACACCAUUAACUAUAGUCCUAUUAGGAACCUUUGCCCUACUUCUUCUCACAAUAAUUCCUCUAUGUUACCCUUUACCAGGGUACCCUUCAUAUUUGCUGCAAAAUUUUCCUAAGUCACCACCUUCUUCAUCACAUGGUCUUAAGGAUGAUGACCCAGUAACUAAGAAAUGCGAUAUAUUCUCUGGAGAAUGGGUACCAAAUCCUGAAGCCCCAUACUACACAAAUACAACAUGUUGGGCAAUACAUGAGCAUCAAAAUUGCAUGAAAUAUGGCAGACCAGACACAGAGUUCAUGAAAUGGAGAUGGAGACCAGAGGAAUGUGAGCUUCCUUUCUUUAACACAGUGCAGUUCUUGGGUCUUGUUAGAGGGAAAUCGAUGGCCUUUGUUGGGGAUUCAGUGGGAAGGAACCAAAUGCAAUCACUGUUGUGUCUCCUAGCCAGU